rnacentral:rRNA from 1 species
UACAGAGGGGGCAAGCGUUGUUCGGAAUUACUGGGCGUAAAGGGCGCGUAGGCGGCCUUCUAAGUCGAACGUGAAAUCCCCGGGCUCAACCCGGGAACUGCGUCCGAUACUGGAAGGCUUGAAUCCGGGAGAGGGAUGCGGAAUUCCUGGUGUAGCGGUGAAAUGCGUAGAUAUCAGGAGGAACACCGGUGGUGUAGACGGCUUUCUGGACCGUAACUGACGCUGAGACACGAAAGCGUGGGUAGCAAACAGG